UGGGUCUAAUACCGGAUAUGACUGACCGUCGCAUGGUGGUUGGUGGAAAGCUUUUUUGUGGUUUUGGAUGGACUCGCGGCCUAUCACCUUGUUGGUGAGGUAAUGGCUUACCAAGGCGACAACGGGUAGCCGGCCUGAGAGGGUGACCGGCCACACUGGGACUGAGACACGGCCCAAACUCCUACGGGAGGCAGCAGUGGGGAAUAUUGCACAAUGGGCGCAAGCCUGAUGCAGCGACGCCGCGUGAGGGAUGACGGCCUUCGGGUUGUAAACCUCUUUCAGUAGGGAAGAAGCGAAAGUGACGGUACCUGCAGAAGAAGCGCCGGCUAACUACGUGCCAGCAGCCGCGGUAAUACGUAGGGCGCAAGCGUUAUCCGGAAUUAUUGGGCGUAAAGAGCUCGUAGGCGGUUUGUCGCGUCUGCCGUGAAAGUCCGGGGCUCAACUCCGGAUCUGCGGUGGGUACGGGCAGACUAGAGUGAUGUAGGGGAGACUGGAAUUCCUGGUGUAGCGGUGAAAUGCGCAGAUAUCAGGAGGAACACCGAUGGC
rnacentral:rRNA from 1 species